rnacentral:rRNA from 1 species
AGCAGCCGCGGUAAUUCCAGCUCCAAUAGCGUAUAUUAAAGUUGUUGCAGUUAAAAAGCUCGUAGUUGAAUUUCGGGGUUAGUAGGCUGGUCAUGCCACCGGUAUGUACUGGUCUUUCUGAUUCCUCCUUCCUGAUGAACUGUAAUGCCAUUAAUUUGGUGUUGCAGGGAAUCUGGACUGUUACUUUGAAAAAAUUAGAGUGUUUAAAGCAGGCUAACGCUUGAAUACAUUAGCAUGGAAUAAUGAAAUAGGACGCUCGAUCCUAUUUUGUUGGUUUCUAGGAUUGACGUAAUGAUUAAUAGGGAUAGUUGGGGGCAUUAGUAUUCAAUUGUCAGAGGUGAAAUUCUUGGAUUUAUUGAAGACUAACUACUGCGAAAGCAUUUGCCAAGGAUGUUUUCAUCAAUCAAGAACGAAAGUUAGGGGAUCGAAGACGAUCAGAUACCGUCGUAGUCUUAACCAUAAACUAUGCCGACUAGGGAUCGGAUGAUGUUAAUUUUUAAUGACUCAUUC